AGGGAUACCUCAUUACCAAGAGACCAAGUAAGGGUCACCUACAGGGACAUCUAAUUGCCAAGAGACCAAGUAAGGGUCACCUACAGGGACAUCAUUACCCAGAGACAAAGUAAGGGUCACCUAAAGGGACAUUUAAGACCAAGUAAGGGUCACCUACAGGGACAUUCAGUAUCAAGAUACCAAGUAAGGGUCACCUACAGGGACAUUUAAGACCAAGUAAGGGUCACCUACAGGGACAUUUAGUACCAAGAUACCAAGUAAGUGUCACCUACAGAGACAUUUAUUACCAAGAGACCAAGUAAGGGUCACCUACAGGGACAUUU